rnacentral:rRNA from 1 species
UACGUAGGGUGCAAGCGUUGUCCGGAAUUAUUGGGCGUAAAGAGCUCGUAGGCGGUCUGUCGCGUCGGCUGUGAAAACCCGGGGCUCAACCCCGGGCCUGCAGUCGAUACGGGCAGACUAGAGUGCGGUAGGGGGAGACUGGAAUUCCUGGUGUAGCGGUGGAAUGCGCAGAUAUCAGGAGGAACACCAAUAGCGAAGGCAGCUCGCUGGGACGGUACUGACGCUAAGGCGCGAAAGCGUGGGGAGCGAACAGG